rnacentral:rRNA from 1 species
GUCGAGCGGAUGAAGAGAGCUUGCUCUCUGAUUCAGCGGCGGACGGGUGAGUAAUGCCUAGGAAUCUGCCUGGUAGUGGGGGACAACGUCUCGAAAGGGACGCUAAUACCGCAUACGUCCUACGGGAGAAAGCAGGGGACCUUCGGGCCUUGCGCUAUCAGAUGAGCCUAGGUCGGAUUAGCUAGUUGGUGAGGUAAUGGCUCACCAAGGCGACGAUCCGUAACUGGUCUGAGAGGAUGAUCAGUCACACUGGAACUGAGACACGGUCCAGACUCCUACGGGAGGCAGCAGUGGGGAAUAUUGGACAAUGGGCGAAAGCCUGAUCCAGCCAUGCCGCGUGUGUGAAGAAGGUCUUCGGAUUGUAAAGCACUUUAAGUUGGGAGGAAGGGCAGUAAGCGAAUACCUUGCUGUUUUGACGUUACCGACAGAAUAAGCACCGGCUAACUCUGUGCCAGCAGCCGCGGUAAUACAGAGGGUGCAAGCGUUAAUCGGAAUUACUGGGCGUAAAGCGCGCGU